rnacentral:rRNA from 1 species
GGAGUUUGGGCCGUGUCUCAGUCCCAAUGUGGCCGGUCACCCUCUCAGGUCGGCUACUGAUCGUCGCCUUGGUGAGCCGUUACCUCACCAACUAGCUAAUCAGACGCGGGUCCAUCUUGUACCGAAAAUACUUUUCACACUGCAUCAUGCAAUGCUGUGCGCUUAUGCGGUAUUAGCAGUCGUUUCCAACUGUUGUCCCCCUGUACAAGGUAGGUUACCCACGCGUUACUCACCCGUCCGCCACUGGAAUUAUCAGUAAUCCUGCCGAAGCUCUCAUACCGAUAAUCCCCGUUCGACUUGCAUGUGUUAAGCACGCCGCCAGCGUUCGUCCGGAGGCCACGGAGUCAAACUACU